GCGUGCUAUCAACGGACCCAUACAUCCCGAAGAAAAUUACACGCUAAGUCGAGAAAUCGUCCACAUCGGAUCCACGAAGAAGGCUGAGAGCGUGUGGUUGGAAACAAAGCUCAUGCAGCAUGCAGUCGUCGUAGC
rnacentral:rRNA from 1 species